CCCAGCUGUAGGCAGCUGCCUAGGUUGCAUUGUACCUGGGCAAGUGUUACACUGCUGGGAGAAAAGCAGAUAAUAACUGGCAGGUAUGCUGGGCCUGGUUAAUGUUGAAUUUUUGUUAACUAU
ensembl:snoRNA SNORA74 Small nucleolar RNA SNORA74